rnacentral:lncRNA from 1 species
GGAGGUGACAUUUUAUUACUUGCUGUCAUAGCACAAGGCUUUGAACUCCCUCUUAGCACAGGUGUAAAUGCAGCACAAUUCUGGAUAAGUACAAAGAGUCACAGUCACUCUCUUCUGCUCUACAUCUUCAACAUCACUUAAUUUCCAUAUUUUGCACUUCUGAUUCUAUUUCUGUAACAAAGAAUGAGGAAAUUGAGCUUGUGACAUAAGCAUGAGGUCUGCAAUGAGAACAAAUCACUAGGGAGCCUUCAGUAGUGCCACACAGAGCAUGUAUAAAAGCAUCGUCUGGAAAAAACACUUUAAUACAACAAGCUUAUUAUCACUGCUAUGUAGAUGUGUUUCAUUACCUGGUUUAUUUCACUUACAUACAAAAGGCCUACAGCCUACAAUAUUUCAUAUAAUACUGGGUUACUAAAAACUGUAUCCAGUUACUUUUUAAAAGCAGUGAUGUUACAGUUGGUGUCCCAUUGAUCUAAACAAAAUGUCAAGCAGAUGAUGAGUCCUUUGGCUGAACUUUUUUCAUUAGAAAAAUGGUGAUUCACUCAAAUUGAAACUCUAUAAAGGAAUGUCCAGCUUUAGGGAGAUGUUGUCCUGGUGCAGCAUCUGAUGUUCAGAACAGCACCUCUGUGCUAAGAAGCUUGAUACUGAAGCAGCAGCUGAGACACUCACUGGGUUGCUGGCCACAGAAGGUCAAAAGGUCAAAGACAUGUAUUAACAGAGUAGUGCAAGGAAAAAUCCUCAAUUCCCAGGAUUUGAAUCAUAUCAGGGUCAAAGCAGUUUAUUGGUUUGUUAAUGACAUAGAAAUUACUGGCAAUCAGUAAUUCAGGUUCAUUAUCAGCAAAGCAACAGAUAAUCUACAAAACUAGACACAUACAAAGUGUCCAUAGACACUUGUGAAUUUCUGAACACUCUUUUAUAAAAAAAUCCAAAAAGUUCUAAUCCCACCCCAGUACACACACACACAGAGUGAGGUGCACAUGGGUGCCCUCUCUGUGGCCAUAUGGGGUCAUAUGUGCACCUUCUAUCCUGAGACUGGAGGUUCCCUCAUUUGC